rnacentral:rRNA from 1 species
GGUCAAGCGAAUAAGCGCACACGGUGGAUGCCUUGGCGGUCAGAGGCGAUGAAGGACGUGGCAGCCUGCGAAAAGUAUCGGGGAGCUGGCAACAAGCUUUGAUCCGGUAAUGUCCGAAUGGGGAAACCCACCCGCUUGCGGGUAUCCUGCAGUGAAUACAUAGCUGCUGGAAGCGAACCUGGUGAACUGAAAUAUCUAAGUAACCAGAGGAAAAGAAAUCAACCGAGAUUCCGUAAGUAGCGACGAGCGAACGCGGACUAGCCCUUAAGCUGAUUUGGUUCUAGGAAAACGCUCUGGAAAGAGCGGCCAUAGAAGGUGAUAGCCCUGUAUCUGAAAGGGCCAUUUCAGUGAAGACGAGUAGGGCGGGGCACGUGAAACCCUGUCUGAACAUGGGGGGACCAUCCUCCAAGGCUAAAUACUACUGACCGACCGAUAGUGAACCAGUACCGUGAGGGAAAGGCGAAAAGAACCCCGGAGAGGGGAGUGAAAUAGAACCUGAAACCGUGUGCGUACAAGCAGUAGGAGCUCCGCAAGGAGUGACUGCGUACCUUUUGUAUAAUGGGUCAGCGACUUACUGUUCGUGGCAAGCUUAACCGUAUAGGGGAGGCGAAGGGAAACCGAGUCUGAUAAGGGCGCAUAGUCGCGGGCAGUAGACCCGAAACCGGGUGAUCUAGUCAUGCCCAGGGUGAAGGUGCGGUAACACGCACUGGAGGCCCGAACCCACUCCCGUUGCAAAGGUAGGGGAUGAGGUGUGAUUAGGAGUGAAAAGCUAAUCGAACCCGGAGAUAGCUGGUUCUCCUCGAAAGCUAUUUAGGUAGCGCCUCAUAUGUAUCCUCUCGGGGGUAGAGCACUGUUAUGGCUAGGGGGUCAUCGCGACUUACCAAACCAUUGCAAACUCCGAAUACCGAGACGGACUGUAUGGGAGACACACGGCGGGUGCUAACGUCCGUCGUGAAAAGGGAAACAACCCAGACCCACAGCUAAGGUCCCAAAUUUUGUGCUAAGUGGAAAACCAUGUGGAAAGGCACAGACAGCCAGGAGGUUGGCUUAGAAGCAGCCACCCUUUAAAGAAAGCGUAAUAGCUCACUGGUCGAGUCGGUCUGCGGGGAAGAUUUAACGGGGCUAAGCACAGAACCGAAGCUUGGGGUGCAUAACUUUGUUAUGCGCGGUAGAGGAGCGUUCCGUAAGCCGUUGAAGGUGGAUUGAGAAGUCUGCUGGAGGUAUCGGAAGUGCGAAUGCUGACAUGAGUAACGAUAAUGCGGGUGAAAAACCCGCACGCCGAAAGCCAAGGUUUCCUUGCGCAACGUUAAUCGGCGCAGGGUGAGUCGGCCCCUAAGGCGAGGACGAAAGUCGUAGUCGAUGGGAAGCAGGUUAAUAUUCCUGCACCUCGCGUAAGUGCGAUGGAGGGACGGAGAAGGUUAGGUGUACCAGGCGUUGGUUGUCCUGGGGAAAGGCGGUAGGUUUGGAUCUUUGGCAAAUCCGGGAUCCUUUAAGACCGAGCACCGAGACGAGCCUUUAAGGCGAAGUCACUGAUACCACGCUUCCAGGAAAAGCUCCUAAGCUUCAGCUUACGCAGACCGUACCGUAAACCGACACAGGUGGGUAGGAUGAGAAUUCUCAGGCGCUUGAGAGAACUCGGGUGAAGGAACUAGGCAACAUGGCACCGUAACUUCGGGAGAAGGUGCACCCUUUUUGGUGGCUCAUGCGAGCUAUAGCUGAAGAGGGUCGCAGUAACCAGGCCGCUGCGACUGUUUAUCAAAAACACAGCACUCUGCAAACACGAAAGUGGACGUAUAGGGUGUGACGCCUGCCCGGUGCUGGAAGGUUAAUUGAUGGGGUCAGCCGCAAGGCGAAGCUCUUGAUCGAAGCCCCAGUAAACGGCGGCCGUAACUAUAACGGUCCUAAGGUAGCGAAAUUCCUUGUCGGGUAAGUUCCGACCUGCACGAAUGGCGUAACGACAGCGGCGCUGUCUCCACCCGAGACUCAGUGAAAUUGAAAUCGCUGUGAAGAUGCAGCGUUCCCGUGGCAAGACGGAAAGACCCCGUGAACCUUUACUAUAGCUUUACACUGAACGUUGAGUUCGUCUGUGUAGGAUAGGUGGGAGGCUAUGAAACCAUGGCGCUAGCUGUGGUGGAGCCAUCCUUGAAAUACCACCCUGUCGUGCUUGACGUUCUAACCUGGGCCCAUUAUCUGGGUCGGGGACCGUGUAUGGUGGGUAGUUUGACUGGGGCGGUCUCCUCCUAAAGAGUAACGGAGGAGCUCGAAGGUACGCUCAGCGCGGUCGGACAUCGCGCACUGUGUGCAAAGGCAUAAGCGUGCUUGACUGCAAGAUCGACGGAUCAAGCAGGUAGGAAACUAGGACUUAGUGAUCCGGUGGUUCUGUAUGGAAGGGCCAUCGCUCAACGGAUAAAAGGUACUCCGGGGAUAACAGGCUGAUACCGCCCAAGAGUUCAUAUCGACGGCGGUGUUUGGCACCUCGAUGUCGGCUCAUCACAUCCUGGGGCUGUAGUCGGUCCCAAGGGUAUGGCUGUUCGCCAUUUAAAGUGGUACGCGAGCUGGGUUCAGAACGUCGUGAGACAGUUCGGUCCCUAUCUGCCAUGGGCGUUGGAGAUUUGAGAGGGGCUGCUCCUAGUACGAGAGGACCGGAGUGGACGAACCUCUGGUGUUCCGGUUGUCACGCCAGUGGCAUUGCCGGGUAGCUAUGUUCGGAAGCGAUAACCGCUGAAAGCAUCUAAGCGGGAAGCGCGCCUCAAGAUGAGAUCUCCCGGGGCACAAGCCCCUGAAGGAACCAUGUAGACUACGUGGUUGAUAGGUCAGGUGUGUAAGUACAGCAAUGUAUUGAGCUAACUGAUACUAAUGAUCCGUGCGGCUUGACCAU